CCUACGGGAGGCAGCAGUAGGGAAUCUUCCGCAAUGGACGAAAGCCUGACGGAGCAACGCCGCGUGAACGAUGAAGGCCUUCGGGUCGUAAAGUUCUGUUGUUAGGGAAGAACAAGUGCUAGUUAAAUAAGCUGGCACCUUGACGGUACCUAACCAGAAAGCCACGGCUAACUACGUGCCAGCAGCCGCGGUAAUACGUAGGUGGCAAGCGUUGUCCGGAAUUAUUGGGCGUAAAGCGCGCGCAGGCGGUUUCUUAAGUCUGAUGUGAAAGCCCCCGGCUCAACCGGGGAGGGUCAUUGGAAACUGGGAAACUUGAGUGCAGAAGAGGAAAGUGGAAUUCCAAGUGUAGCGGUGAAAUGCGUAGAGAUUUGGAGGAACACCAGUGGCGAAGGCGACUUUCUGGUCUGUAACUGACGCUGAGGCGCGAAAGCGUGGGGAGCAAACAGGAUUAGAUACCCUGGUAGUCCACGCUGUAAACGAUGAGUGCUAAGUGUUAGAGGGUUUCCGCCCUUUAGUGCUGAAGUUAACGCAUUAAGCACUCCGCCUGGGGAGUACGGUCGCAAAGACUGAAACUCAAAGGAAUUGACGGNUUGAGAGNGCGAGCGACGACGAGGAGAG
rnacentral:rRNA from 1 species